rnacentral:piRNA from 1 species
UGGGAAAACAGAAGAGCAGAUCCUCAGGU